rnacentral:rRNA from 1 species
UACAUGUGGGGCAAGCGUUGUUCGGAAUUACUGGGCAUAAAGGGUGCGUAGGCGGUUUGUUAAGUCACUGGUGAAAGUUUUCGGCCCAACCGGAAAAUUGCCUGUGAUACUGGCGAACUUGAGUGCAUGAGGGGUGGGGGGAACGAGCAGUGUAGCGGUGAAAUGCGUAGAUAUUGCUCGGAAGGCCGGAGCCGAAGGGGCCCCACUGGUACGUAACUGACGCUGAGGCACGAAAGCGUGGGGAGCAAACAGG